rnacentral:rRNA from 1 species
UACGAAGGGGGCUAGCGUUGCUCGGAAUCACUGGGCGUAAAGCGCACGUAGGCGGCUUUCUAAGUCAGGGGUGAAAUCCUGGAGCUCAACUCCAGAACUGCCUUUGAUACUGGAGAGCUUGAGUCCGGAAGAGGUGAGUGGUACUCCGAGUGUAGAGGUGAAAUUCGUAGAUAUUCGCAAGAACACCAGUGGCGAAGGCGGCUCACUGGCCCGGUACUGACGCUGAGGUGCGAAAGCGUGGGGAGCAAACAGG